UACAGGACAGUAUUGUUUUUCCCUUGCGAUUUGGGUGAGGUGGGCGGCGGGCCGGCGGCGCUGGGCGUGAAAUGGGGUGGCGCGCAUGCCUGUGGGCCGCUGAGAGUUCUCUGUUGCGGCAGCGAGGGUGAUCGGCUGGGGCGGUGUGUCACGGUGGCGGGGGAGGCUGCUUGGUCGGCUGCUGUGGAUUCACUUCUCAGGCUCUGUCUCAGAGGUUGCGUCUGUUGGUGAUGGUCUGUGGAAGGAGGGUUUCCGGCGGGCGGGCGGCGGGCGCUGUCCAGCGGGAUUCUUCGUCGCCGAUCCGCGGGUUUUCCGCCGUUGCCCCGCUCUGCUCCGGCUUCUCCUCCACCUGCUGCACUUCCUUGCCCCGUCCAGAUUAGGGAGUCACCAUGUGGUGGCUCGCUAUCUGCCCCCAUACCGGGGCGCCGGCCAUCUCGAGUUGUCCCCUCCGUUCGCCGUCCGAAUGGUCCCAGGCCUUUCUCCUCCAUGUGCGCCAUCUCCUGACGAACUCCACCUCAGAUUCAGUCUGAACCCGUGACGCCCCCUCCCAGUCCCAGCCGUCCCUCACCCCCUUGCGCCCCUACACCUGUACAGUGCUGGGUUCCGUUGGAAGUCAUCUGCAAGUGUGCCACCUCUCAUGAUGGAUUCUUCUCAUGGUGGGGAUUCGGUCUGAAGGUGGAAGCUGUUGGAACCGAGGAUCGACGGACGGUCAGACAAGAACACAAGACACGAUGGUUUACCGGGCGACGAACGCCCGCCGGGCGACAGACGCCCCCAGCGACGAACGCUGGCCUUUCUCUGUAUUUCUCCAACUCGGCUCGGCUUACAACAGGCAGCAGUACGGAGAAAUUUGGCAACAAAUAAAUUUGAGGAAAGAAUACGAACACCAUUCUCGUCGUUGCACACCUGGACUCUCACGGAUAUCUGGGAAUGAGCGCUUCCUAUUCAAAAUUUACUUGCAGAAUCAACUGAUUGGUAUGUAAUUUUUGCUGCAGCAAUAUGAGCAAAUAUUAUAUUCUUUGGGAUAGUUGCUGAUGUUUUUUCUUCACAUGAAAAGCUUAGUAAUGAUGUAAGGUAGGGUUCCCAUGUCACUUGUUAAAUAAACAAUUCAGUUUCAGCUAGACUAUUCUUUGCUACAUCACACUUAUACUUCCGCUGCCCAGACGAUAUGCAUUAUAAUUGCCACUAAAUUAGAUAUCAAAAGUAGUUUGUGGCUCAGGUGUUAAAUGUUCUUCAUGCACAUCAAGUUGUUCUAAAGUUUGGUGGAACUAAUUUUUCUAAAACAACCUUCUGACUAAGUUGUACUAAAUCAGCGACACUUAUUUUUGGAUGGAGGGAGUACUAAACAUAGUGUUUUUGCUGCUUAUUGAUAUUGCCAAUCUUUUCCAUGAAUGUUUCUCACUCUGGUGUCUUGGAUAGUUUACCUGCUUUGCCUCAGACAAGAUAUACGUAUAAAGCAAAUUAUUUCAUAUACUAAAAAAUUGUUCCUUGUUAUCCGAAAUCAUCUCAUGCCGAAACCUAUCUUUGGACUAAGCUGCAACUAGCAGCUUUUAUUCGGUAUUAAAUCAGCUAUCAACAAAAUAAGUAACUAAAUAGUUAGGUACUCGAUAAUAUCCGUCGACCGUAUUUAUUGUGCUUUUUAGUUGCCUUAGCAGUGGUACAGUUCACAUGUCCAUGUCCAUUUUGCAGAAGGUCCAUAUGUUGAACUUCUUUUUAAGAAUCUGCUAAUGACGGUGUGUAGAACUGCGGUUUCCUUGCAAGGAUUGCUCGCUGUCACUCUUUUGGCAAUCUUGCUGAAGAUUGGUUGGCCAGUGUGCCGUUAUUUUAUUUGUGCAGCUGUAAGGCUUGGGACUGAGGCAGGAGCAUUCCCCCAAGGGAAAUCAAGUUUUAUUGGGAGGUGGUAUGUUGUGGAUGUCACCAUAUCGUGUAUUUUCCUUCGUUCAGGUUACAUUUCAUUUCAGGUUCUAGAAUCUUAUCCAAAAGGCAGUGCUGUCUUUGUGGAUUUUGUUAAGCUUUGUCUUACGACACUUCAUGGCAGUGUUCACUGUCAAAUCCUGUAGGAAAUAUGUCUGACUAUGUAUGCGCACAUGUAGAGAUGUGCCUAUAAUGAAUAUUUACACAUGUGAUUGAUGUUCAUUCAUUUUGCAGCACUACUAGCUUCGCCACACGCACCACCUGAGAGAUGGUUCUGCCUGUAGAGAUGUACCUAUAACGAACUACACAUGAGAUUGAUUGUGAUUCAUUUUACAACAGUACUAACAUAGCCACUUGCGCCACCGGAUGUUAUCAUGGUAAUCUCGUAGUCAUAAGGAAAAGGCGUCCUGGUGGCGAGUGUCAUCGUAUUUUCCUUUUCACGUGUUUUGAUCACUUCAUUGGUCAACGUAGGAGUGUGUGGCUGUUAAUGCCUUGUAUUUUUGGUUGAAAACAUGAUUGGUACUA